rnacentral:rRNA from 1 species
UGGGGAAUAUUGCACAACGGGCGCAAGCCUGAUGCAGCCAUGCCGCGUGUAUGAAGAAGGCCUUCGGGUUGUAAAGUACUUUCAGUCGGGAGGAAGGUGUCAAGGUUAAUAACCUUGGCAAUUGACGUUACCGACAGAAGAAGCACCGGCUAACUCCGUGCCAGCAGCCGCGGUAAUACGGAGGGUGCAAGCGUUAAUCGGAAUUACUGGGCGUAAAGCGCACGCAGGCGGUCUGUCAAGUCGGAUGUGAAAUCCCCGGGCUUAACCUGGGAACUGCAUUCGAAACUGGCAGGCUAGAGUCUUGUAGAGGGGGGUAGAAUUCCAGGUGUAGCGGUGAAAUGCGUAGAGAUCUGGAGGAAUACCGAUGGCGAAGGCGGCCCCCUGGACGAAGACUGACGCUCAGGUGCGAAAGCGUGGGGAGCAAACAGG